UACGUAGGGUGCAAGCGUUGUCCGGAAUUAUUGGGCGUAAAGGGCUCGUAGGCGGUCCAUCGCGUCGGGGAGUGAAAAGCUGGGGCUUAACCCCAGUCCUGCUUUCGAUACGGGUGGACUAGAGGUAGGCAGGGGAGAACGGAAUUCCUGGUGUAGCGGUGAAAUGCGCAGAUAUCAGGAGGAACACCUGUGGCGAAAAGCGGCUCACUGGACCGCAACUGACGCUGAGGCGCGAAAGCUAGGGGAGCAAACAGG
rnacentral:rRNA from 1 species